UGGACUGCCUGGGUGAGAAUACGUGCCCAAGUCCACUCCAGCUUGCUGAACCAAACGUGAUGCCAGAAAGAGAAAACUAAGUGGCAUGGAUGGUGGAAAUAGGCACACCGGCUCCGUUCCAGCUGGAAACACUACCGUGAAAAAAGAAGGAAUCCAAGCCCCCAGAAGAACAAGAGGGAAAGUGGAGAAGCCUCACUGUCAAGAUGCCCAUGAUGCUGGAAUUUCAACAGGAGUUUGACUUGGCACCCUUGUGAGCGGCAAAAAGAAAAUGGUGUCAUAAAAGGCAUCGACUCGCCUCCCACACGCUUCAGCUGCCCCAGCGCACAUCACUUCUUCCUCCUCUGAAGGGAAAGCUUCCAGUGGGGGCAAUAUUUGCUACAGGAAUCCAGGAUCUGACCAUCCCGACAAGAUCAGAAGGGGAUUAGAAAUGUGAAAGAUGCAAGGGACUGGCCGAAAGGAAAAAAGAGGAAGGAAAGGAGUCAGAAGAGACAAUCUCAUAGUCUUUCAGGUUA